rnacentral:lncRNA from 1 species
UUGGUAGCUCCGCAGCUAGAGUUGUCCGUACAGCAUUACCAGCGGACUUUUCGAGGUACCCAAAAAACAAAACUCUGUUUACACUCCUCUUGUUGUAGCCGUCUUCACCAACCCCGAACGUCACUCUCCAUUAUUUAACAGUAGCCGUCUCUACCAAUUCUCAACAAAAAGCACACUAUUUUCAGAAAGAGAAGAGGCGAUUCUCAAAAUAAUGGCAGCAAGUUCCAGUCUGUUGAAGCUCAACGCCUCUUCAUCUU